rnacentral:SRP_RNA from 1 species
GCUGGGCAUGGUGGUGCAUGCCUGUAGUCCCAGAUACUUGGGAGGCCGAGGCAGGAGAAUUGCUUGAACCCAGGAGGCGGGGGUUGCAGUGAGCUGAGAUCACGCCACUGCACUCCUGCCUGGGCAAAAGAGUAAGACCCUGUCAA